GUCACACGAUUAAUUUAGAUUCAGUUUACAUGGGAUCAAUUCAUUAUAAAUUGCUAACCUAAGCAUCUUCUAAAACAUAUCAUUUCCUUUAUUUAAUAAGCAAUUGUAGUUGCAUCGCAUCAUGCAUGUUACUAAUGAGAACUUAUUCAAUGUAGAGUGUCAACUCACAGUACUAGAAGGAUUUUUCUAACAGAUACCCCGUCAAAAUUAGUAUAUCAAAAUGAUUGUUUUUUAAUAGGUGCUCACGUCAAAUUUUGUUAAGAAUUUUUGUAAUUAGAUCCAAAUUAUAUUUAACUUAUCAUAUGAAUACAGGCACACAAUUAAGUUGUGUUAAAAUUAUAAUAUCUACGCGGGGGGGUAGGGUUUGGGGUUGUCCAAAAAAAUUAGAGGGUUGACAUUAUUGAAGAGUAGCCAAUUCAAGAAAUUAAAUAAUAAGCAUGCGCCACCACUAUUAUAUCACGUGCUAGCGGGGCCCACUGUUUUACGGCCAGUGAAUACUUACUAGUAGUAAUUGAAUAUACUACCUAUAAAUAAAUAGCAUCUGCUUUGCCUGAUAUCCGAUCACUUUAACCAAAUUCUAUUAGCUGCAGCAUCGUCUGCCGAACGCCCUGGCACACACAUAAUUCUGGUCCUAGGAUAUGACGACAAUACCCAAAACAGCGGCAUAUAUCGGAGCACAACAAGGCCAGCCGGCCGCCCGCCCGCCACGGCACAUACGUGAAGUGGUAUGAGUUACAUGACAUCAUCCACACAAAGGAAUUAAUACACGUACCAGCAGAACGAAGAAGGAAGCGAAAGCAAUGGUCAAAAAUCUGCCGAUGUAGGCAUCACAAAGAUACGCACCAACCAGGGGUAAGAAACUUGUUGCCCCCGACCAUAUGUUGAUUACGUUUGAAGCUGAAACUUGGUCCAUGUGAAAUUGUGUUAACAAGAACACUGUAAAAUUUGCCAACAAUCCUACGUUUGCCAGCCUCUCAAACGUCUCAUUUCCU